rnacentral:tRNA from 1 species
GAUGCCGGGGAUCCGGACUCGAUCCUGGCCGCCGUCGCCGGCCAGGAGUGGGACGUAGUGGUGAACUUCCGCUCGUUCUCGCCCGAGCAGGCGGCG